UACAGGGGGUGCAAACGUUGCUCGGAAUCAUUGGGCGUAAAGCGCACGUAGGCGGUUAUUUAAGUCGGAUGUGAAAGCCCUUGGCUCAACCGAGGAAGUGCAUCCGAAACUGAAUAGCUGGAGUACGAAAGAGGGUCGCGGAAUUCCCGGUGUAGAGGUGAAAUGCGUAGAUAUCGGGAGGAACACCAGUGGCGAAGGCGACUACCUGGCCUGUUCUUGACGCUGAGGCGCGAAAGCUAGGGGAGCAAACGGG
rnacentral:rRNA from 1 species